rfam:Cavia porcellus supercont2_49 genomic scaffold, whole genome shotgun sequence.
GGGGAUUUAGCUCAGUGGCAUAAGAACCUGCCUUACAAGCAGGCGGUCGUGAGUUCGAUCCCCAGUACCCA